rnacentral:rRNA from 1 species
CGCGACCCCAGGUCAGGCGGGGCUACCCGCUGAGUUUAAGCAUAUCAAUAAGCGGAGGAAAAGAAACUAUC